CUUGUUCUGAAACAGGUGGCUCAUGCACAAAUGAGAAGAGGUAUAACGAAAGUGGGUUGAAAGGACGCUAGUGUGGCCACAGUGAAACUAAAGGAGCUUGCAAUGGAUCGUUGCCAGGAAAAUGAAGAAACUAAAAGAAGACUCCGACUGCAAUAAAAAAGUGGAACACUAGAAAAGAGGGAGGAAACAGGGAAACCAUCUCCAAGAUGAGUCAGAGGCGUGCACCAAAGGUCUCUGCCAGAAGCGGGAGACAUAAUGAUUGAGUCUCUGUUUUCGUGAAACUUCUGUGGCAUUGAGAAAAUGACGGUAAUGAAAUAAUCACCACUUGCCCAUAAGAUUACAAAGUUAGAGACUGAAAGCCUUAAAAAG